CAUGGAGGGUGAGAAUCCCGUCCGGCUAAAUCAAUGUGUUCUACGAUACACAAUCAAAGAGUCAAGUUGUUUGGGAAUGCAGCUUAAAAUGGGAGGUAAAUUUCUCCUAAGGCUAAAUAUUGGCGAGAGACCGAUAGCGAACAAGUACCGUGAGGGAAAGAUGAAAAGAACUUUGAAAAGAGAGUUAAAAAGUACGUGAAAUUGUUGAAAGGGAAACGAUUGAAGUCAGUCGUACCGACGAGAAAUCAACUCAUCGAAUGGGUAAUUGCGGGCGUAUGAGAGCUUCACGGUCUCAUUGUUUGCGAAUGCAUUGUUUUUUGGGUGUACUUUUUCGUAUGGUAGGCCAACGUCGGUUUCGAUUACUAUAAAAUGAUCGGAGGAAUGUAGCUUCGAUUUCGGUUGAAGUGUUAUAGCCUUUGGUAGAUGUAGUGAUUGGGACCGAGGAUUGCAACGAGUACCCUUUUGGGCUAUCCGUCUGACCCCUGAAAGUUGCUUAGGUGCCGAAAGCGUGCUUACGGUUAUUUAAGCCAGCGGUCAAAAGGUUAGAACGCGAUUACAUUCGUUAAGGAUGUUGACGUAAUGG
rnacentral:rRNA from 1 species